rnacentral:rRNA from 1 species
GUCCACGCCGUAAACGAUGAUAACUCGCUGUUGGCGAUACACAGUCAGCGGCUUAGCGAAGCGUUAAGUUAUCCACCUGGGAGUACGCUCGCAAGAGUGAAACUCAAAGGAAUUGACGGGGCCCGCACAAGCGGAGGAACAUGUGGUUUAAUUCGAUGAUACGCGAGGAACCUUACCUGGGCUUAAAAUGUGCUAUGACCGCUGAAGAAAUUUGGCUUUUCGCAAGAACAGAGUACAAGGUGCUGCAUGGUUGUCGU